rnacentral:rRNA from 1 species
AGCGAACGCUGGCGGCAGGCUUAACACAUGCAAGUCGAGCGGGCACUUCGGUGUCAGCGGCAGACGGGUGAGUAACACGUGGGAACGUACCCUUCGGUUCGGAAUAACGCUGGGAAACUAGCGCUAAUACCGGAUACGCCCUUUUGGGGAAAGGUUUACUGCCGAAGGAUCGGCCCGCGUCUGAUUAGCUAGUUGAUGGGGUAAUGGCCUACCAAGGCGACGAUCAGUAGCUGGUCUGAGAGGAUGAUCAGCCACACUGGGACUGAGACACGGCCCAGACUCCUACGGGAGGCAGCAGUGGGGAAUAUUGGACAAUGGGCGCAAGCCUGAUCCAGCCAUGCCGCGUGAGUGAUGAAGGCCUUAGGGUUGUAAAGCUCUUUUGUCCGGGACGAUAAUGACGGUACCGGAAGAAUAAGCCCCGGCUAACUUCGUG